UACGAAGGGGGCUAGCGUUGCCCGGAAUCACUGGGCGUAAAGCGCACGUAGGCGGCUUCUUAAGUCAGGGGUGAAAUCCUGGGGCUCAACCCCAGAACUGCCCUUGAUACUGAGGAGCUUGAGUCCGGGAGGGGUGAGGGGAACUCCGAGUGUAGAGGUGAAAUUCGUAGAUAUUCGGAAGAACACCGGUGGCGAAGGCGGCUCACUGGCCCGGUACUGACGCUGAGGUGCGAAAGCGUGGGGAGCAAACAGG
rnacentral:rRNA from 1 species